GCGCCUGUAGCUCAGCUAGGUAGAGCGUCGGACUCUUAAUCCGAUGGUCGAGGGUUCAACUCCCUCCAGGCGCG
rnacentral:tRNA from 1 species